AGCGAACGCUGGCGGCGUGCCUAACACAUGCAAGUCGAACGUGAAAGGGAGCAAUCCCAAGUAAAGUGGCGUACGGGUGAGUAACACGUAGGUAAUCUACCCCAGAAUCUGGAAUACCCGGCCGAAAGGCUGGCUAAUACUGGAUAGAGCGACGGAAUCCGUAAUUGGGUUUUUCGGGAAAGGGAGCCUGUAAAAAGGCCUUCGUUCUGGGAUGAGCCUGCGUCCCAUCAGCUAGUUGGUGAGGUAAAAGCUUACCAAGGCAAUGACGGGUAGCUGGUCUGAGAGGACGAUCAGCCACACUGGAACUGAAACACGGUCCAGACUCCUACGGGAGGCAGCAGUGGGGAAUCUUGCGCAAUGGACGAAAGUCUGACGCAGCAACGCCGCGUGAGUGAAGAAGGCCUUCGGGUUGUAAAGCUCUGUCGAGUGGGACGAAAAUGCUUGGAGUUCACAGCUCCAGGAACUGACGGUACCACUAAAGGAAGCACCGGCUAACUCCGUG
rnacentral:rRNA from 1 species